rnacentral:rRNA from 1 species
CCUACGGGAGGCAGCAGUAGGGAAUCUUCCACAAUGGGCGAAAGCCUGAUGGAGCAACGCCGCGUGGGUGAAGAAGGUCUUCGGAUCGUAAAGUUCUUUUCUAAGGGAAGAAGAAAGUGACGGUACCUUAGGAAUAAGCCUCGGCUAACUACGUGCCAGCAGCCGCGGUAAUACGUAGGAGGCGAGCGUUAUCCGGAAUGACUGGGCGUAAAGGGUGCGUAGGUGGUUUGGCAAGUUAGUAGCGUAACUCCAAGGCUCAACCUUGGAACUACUACUAAAACUGUUGGACUUGAGUGCAGGAGGGGCAACCGGAAUUCCUAGUGUAGCGGUGGAAUGCGUAGAUAUUAGGAGGAACACCAGUGGCGAAGGCGGGUUGCUAGACUGUAACUGACACUGAGGCACGAAAGCGUGGGGAGCAAACAGGAUUAGAUACCCGGGUAGUC